AUUUCUUUGUAUCUUUGUUUCUCUGUUUAUUUAUUUAUUUAUUUAUUAAUUAAUUGACGCCCUUACCUGCAUUUGCAUCGGCCUCCCGUCUCCUUGCCUGGCACACCCUGACAACCAAAAACAAGGGAAUUCUGAUUCUGCGCAUUGAUCAGCUUCACAGCUGCUGCAACACACACACACACACACACACGUGUGUGUGUGAAUCGAUGAUGCAUCGAGAAGAGCCCUCCCACUCUACAGGAAGGAGAGAGAAGGAUGAUCCAGAUCCGGCCCAGCCACCUGGAAUUGUGCUCUGGGCCAGAGCACCUGGCUCUCCUGCUUCACAUUAGAGUGAGUGGACGUGGAGAUGGAAUCUGAGCUCCUCUCGGCUGCUGGCGUUUUCAUAAGUAGUGGUAGGCAAUACGAAGUUUCUUUCGCCUUGCCUUUCGCCCCCUCACUCCCUCGCUCGCUCUCUCUCUCCGUCUCUCUGGGCAUCUCCGCUCUUCUGUGGCACUCCCAGCCGGAGGGAAGGAUGGAAGGAGGGGGAGACGGAGGAGAGGAGAGAGGGAUGGAGAAGACGAAUAGAAGGGGGAGGAGGAGGAGGAGGGGGAGGAAGAGGGGGAUGAGGAGGAAUAAGGAGGAGGAGGAUGGUUUCUCUAUGGAUGAUACUGCUGGUGAACCCGACGCUAGCACCGGUUUGCCUCCAAACUGAACUCUGCCGAACACUCUUCCCCACUUACUAUCUGCUUUCAGGCAUUGGUCGAGAAUUACAGCCGCCCCAUCCAUACAAUUAAACAGCAGAUACUCCGGACCCCGCGUUCAGACCACCCGGUCAGCUCUGCUCUCUUAAUUUAAAAUAUUAAACGAGGGUUCUUCAGAGGUUGCUGUAGUUGCAGCAGUUUUUUAAGGCAG
rnacentral:lncRNA from 1 species